rnacentral:misc_RNA from 1 species
ACCAUUACGUCGAUAGACGCACUUGAUGCAGUGCCUACACAGAUAGUCUUGUUUAUAUUUAAAGAUGACUUAAAUAAAAGCCCUUAGCUUUGAUUUAAGAUCAAACCUAAGUGUUUUGAAUUAAGCACUAUGUUCUUUAACAAUUUGGAAAGCUGAUAUUAAUAGUAAUCAAUCAAAAUUGAGUAACUGAGAAGUCGAAAGACGUACUUUUUACUCUACUUGACUUGAAUUGCUUGUUAUCAACAUUGAUUGAUAGCAAGGCAAUUCUUCCGAUUAGCUUGUCAUGCAUACAACAUUACCCUUGUCCGAUUUCAAAAGGCGGACAUGAGGCCAAUACUCAAGGCUUUUUAGGGUUGUAU